rnacentral:rRNA from 1 species
GGUGGGGGAUAAUCUCGGGAAACUGAGGAUAAUACCCCAUAGGUCUGAUCUGCUGGAAUGCUUUCAGGCCGAAAACUCCGGUGCCUUAGGAUUGGUCUGCGGUCUAUCAGGCUGUAGUGGGUGUAACGGACCCACUAGCCCGUGACGGAUAUGGGCCUUGAGAGAGGGAGCCCAGAGAUGGACUCUGAGACAUGAGUCCAGGCCCUACGGGGCGCAGCAGUCGCGAAAACUUCGCAAUGGGGGCAACCCCGACGAGGGAAUUCCAAGUGCCAGCACUUUGUGUUGGCUGUUCUCCUGUCUAGAAAACAGGAGGAGUAAGGGGCGGGUAAGACGGGUGCCAGCCGCCGCGGUAAUACCCGCGCCCCUAGUGGUGGUCGAUAUUAUUGAGCCUAAAACGUCCGUAGCCGGUCUUCUAAAUCCUUGGGUAAAUCGGGCAGCUUAACUGUCCGAAGUCCGGGGAGACUGGAAGACUUGGGACCGGGAGAGGUCAGAGGUACUUCUGGGGUAGGGGUAAAAUCCUGUAAUCCUGGAAGGACCACCGGUGGCGAAGGCGUCUGACUAGAACGGAUCCGACGGUGAGGGACGAAGCCCUGGGGCGCAAACGGGAUUAGAUACCCCGGUAGUCCAGGGUGUAAACGCUGCGGGCUUGGUGUUGGGGGUCCUUAGUGGGCGCCCAGUGCCGGAGAGAAGUUGUUAAGCCUGCUGCUUGGG